rnacentral:rRNA from 1 species
GGGCGUAAGCGGGCGUAGGCGGCUUGGUAGGUUUGGGGUGAAAGACGAGGACGCCCCGGAAUGGCUUUAAAAAUGGAUGGCUUGAAACAGGGAGAGGUGAGUGGAAUUUCGAGUGGAGAGGUGAAAUUCUUUAAUUUUCGGAAGAACACCAGUGGCGAAGGCGGCUGCCUGCUCCGGCAUUGACCCUUAAGUGGCAAAACGUGGGGAGCAAAAAAGAUUAAAAAACCCGGUAGUCCCCCCCCCAAACGAAGAAGACUAGCUGUCUGGGGCCUUAGUGCUUAAGUGGGCGAACUAAAUCAUUAAGUCUUCCGGCUGGGGAGUACGGGCGCAAGGGUAAAACUCAAAAAAAUUGACGGGGGCCCGCCCCAGCGGGGGAACGGGUUUUGCCAACCUUAUACCACGACAAAAACUUACCCUCGUUUGAAAUCCUGAUGGACGUUACCACAGAUGGUUUCUCUUCCCCUCUGCUGCAUCGUUGACAGGUGCUGCAUGGCUGUCGUCACCUCGUGUCUUGAGAUGUUGGGUUAAGUCCCCCAACGAGCGCACCCCUCUCCUUUAUUUGCUACCAUUUAGUUGGGCACUCUUAGGAACUGCCGGUGAUAAGCCGGAGGAAGGUGGGGAUGACAUCUAGUCCUCAUGGCCCUUACGCGCUGGGCUACACACAUGCUACAAUGGUGGACACAAUGGGCGGCAACUCACGACAUGAUGAGAUAAUCUCUCAUCAGUUGUCUCUCUUCUCAUAGUUCUCUGCGCUGCGAGAGCACGAUCAUGGCAGUAGCUAGUAUCAUGGAUCAUCAUGUCA